ensembl:lncRNA
UGUGGCUGUGAAGGUAUUUUGUAGAUGUGAUUAAAGUCCAUAAUCAGGUGAUGGUCACAGAAAAUAUCCUGGAUAAUCAGGAUGUAUCUGAUUUAAUCAGUUAAAAGGUCUUAAAAAUAGAGCUGAUUCAUCACCCAGUGGACAGUAGCCUUGCCUGUACCCAGAGCUCCACCCUGCCCUUCCUGGAAGUCUGCCCUAUAAUACAAAUUUCAGACGUCUAACCAGCCCCUUCUAUUGCAACUGUGUAAGGCAAUACCUUGUGAUAUCUCUUAAUAUAUAGCUCCCACUGGUUCCAAUUUUCUGGUUGAGCUGCACUGAUACAGGGAGGAAAUCUUUCUUUUCAGAAAUAAUACUGCCAUGGAAUAUAAUCUGAAGUAGUAAAUAAAUGACCAAGAAAAGCUCAUCAGACUAGUGAAUGUAUGAAGUGCAUAGGAAAAAAGAAACUGGAAAUCUGAAAUCUCUCAAGACUAUCUCUAUGUACUAGAUUUGAAAUGACAAGGAAAAUGGAAUGUCAUUGGCAUGCUAACAUAACUUUGUUUUGUGGGUGAGGAGGGAACAGUGAGAAAGAAGAGGAAAAAGAAAUAGCUCUUAAUUGAUGACCAUAGAUAAGUUUUUCAAACUUAGAGUUUUGGGAUAACCAGGAUUUUCCUCCUAGCACCAUAAAUCCUGAAAGUAUUGUAGCCAUGCUGAUGUGCUAGCUCAGAUGGAAAGGUUUCCACAUCUAUUUGUAACUGGACCACAUAGAUUGCCUAUCCUCUCAUGCUGGGUUCCUAGUUCUGAUGAAAGACAGAGCAUAAAAUAUCUUGCCCCUGAAAAUGCAAAUAAACUUACCCUUACUGAGGUGCCAACUCACAAAAGAUAAAUGGAAGCCUUGAAAUGUUUCCUCUAGUGAAUUACAUAUUAGAAUUACACUUUCUAUUUCUGGGAACUUCACAUUCUCAUCUAUUGCCUUGUUCAACAUUUGCAGCCUCAGGCUGCAAAAACUGAUUAAGAAGAAAGGCCACUUGGAGAUUUGAAAUGAUUCUGUAUUGACUUCAUUUUUUUUUUUAAAAUAAGGAAGAUAUAGCCAGCAGAGAAAUAUGUAGUAUGCACUCUUUAUUUAAUUGCAGCUAGAUAUCUUGUAUUCUCUGUUUCACACUAGCAAACUAUGAAUAAUCCAUGCUUCUUUCUCAAUUACACUCAGCUAAAAUACAUUCUGUGUUACUCUUUUUAUAGGCAAAAAGGAAGAGAAAAAACAUUAGGCAGUAGGCACUUUGCCCUUUGUUGCAUGUGUUUUAAGUCCCUUCCGUAGUCUCCAUGUCUGACUCUUUGUGACCCUGUGGAUUGUAGCCUGCCAGGCUCCUCUGNNNNNNNNNNUCUCCAGGCAAGAAUACUGGAGUGGAUUGCUAUGCCCUCUUCCAGGGGAUUUUCUAAACCUAGGAAUCAAACCUGCAUCUCUUAUCUCUCCUGCAUUGGCAGGCAGGUUCUUUCCCACUAGUGCCAUCUGGGAAGCUAAUAAUUCUCCAAGACAAGUGUCAUAGAUGAGAGCACUGGGGCCGCAGAAAUUGUGUCAUAUCCAAGGCAGAAACAGGAUUUUAAACAAGACCUGCUCUCUUUUUGCUCCAUGCUGCUACUAAAAGUUAUACAUGUGUUCUAAAAAAGUCACAAUUGGCAUAAGUCCCAUUUUAGUAAAUAUGCUUGUGAACAAUUUAAUAAAAGUAAUCUCCUGUAAACUCUUUUUGUGGAAUAAAUGCCAUCCUUAUUAGCCUUUUCUAUGGAUAUAUUUUUUAAUUUUGAGAAAGAUAUAAAAGAAUCUUUUUUUCUCUUCAUUAAAUGUACAUCUUAGGAUUUGAUAAAUACAGGUAAAGAGAUCAUUUGCUGAAGCUAAACAAAAGUAGUAGUAGUGCUUAAGAACAAGUAACCAUAAUGAAAUGUUGAUAUGUAGAUAUAUUUUAUAUAUAAUUAAUAUGUCUAAAUAUCUGGCUUAUCUGCAUGUAUGUUUAAAUCAAUAUGUACUUGACUUAUUUUUAGAUGUAAUAUACAGAUUGCUUAGUUUAAUAAUCUACAGAAUUGAGAACAACUGAGAAAUAUUUUGCAUUUUUGUAUUUUUAAAAUCUAGUUUCUACUCAAAACAUUUAAUUUCUGUUAUGUGAUGAAAAUAACUUCCUUAUCACUUCAUGGGAAAUAGAUGGGGAAACAGUAGAAACCGUGUCAGACUU